AAAAAAAAAAAACUGAUGUUUUUAUCUUGAAUCAAUAUGAUCAGGAGUUUUUGGAAUUACUUUUCACCUUAAAUUGAAAUAGUGCAUUUUUAUAGUUUCUCAGAGCAUGUGGAAGGGAUAGAAUUUUCAUUCUUUUGCUGGGUCAGCUUGUCUUUAGUAUAUAUACUACUCUUAUAAACCAAAGCCUCUAAUAAGAGCACCUAAUUUAUAUUUUAAUUACAGUGUAAGUGUCUAUCAAGUAAACCAUGCUGGAGCUUUGUUUAGCUGCUCAUAACUUCAACUAAAAUUAUCAAGAAUGAAAAUUUUCUUCUAAAUAUUAUUUAGCAAGCUUUACUCUGUGGUACAAAUCACUUUAAAAUGGAAGAAUUAAUUUUGGAAGUAAAGGAAUCCCAGUUCCCUAAGUGUUGAAAAUUUGCAUCUGACUUUCAAGGUGCGUGGCAUGUCAUUCAAUCCAGAAGACAAUCAAAACUCCGGGGUGAGAGAUUGGAAAAAUCUGAAAUCACAGGUGGAUUUUUAAAUUCAGCCAACAAAAAAUAUAUACCUUCUGUUUUUAAAAACAUUGAUGUGAUAUUUUGGACAACUUUUGGAUUUUGCAGUUUAAAUAUCAAGUGAAAAGAACAUUUAUGUUCUGGUUCAUGUGAUAUAGUAGGUUCCAGUCUGUGUUUUUGAAGCCAAAGGGUUCCUCAGAGGUGCCUGAUGAGUGAUGGUUUAGAAAGGGAGGGAAAGCCUAGCCUAUCCUCAUCCCUUCCCCCUUCACCCAAAGCAGCUUCUAUUUUUUCUUUUAUAUAUUGGAAUUCUAAGUAAGCUUUCCUGGGGUGUGUUGGUAUGGGGGGCGGGUAGGGAAAUGAGUAGGAUAAAACAAGUGGAGACUUUGCUGCUUUAAAAACAAUUUUCUGAGUAUUUUAAUGUAUUUUAUUUGGCCAAAUUUGACUGCUACAAAAGCUAGUCAUAAUAACUGUGCAGCAGUAAUGUGCAGCUAUGCCAACCUUUCUUCCCACUGUUUUUCCUACUGCAUUCUUAGUACUGAAGAAAAUCUUGAAAUGUACAGAAAUGCUAUUUGAUUAUCAGUAAUUUUUAGCUUUUGUGAAAGUACAUUAGUUACAGGUCCAUCUCUCUUUUCUAUAAAGCACGAGUGCAGUUUGUAGUUGUGCCUACUCUUAUAAUAUUUCAGUAAAAAGUAAAUACACGAUGAAUACUUUCUAGAAUUCAUAACUGACAGGGAUGCCGUAAUAAUAAAAUUAUAUUAACAGUUUUCAUGUACAGUAUAAAGAAGGCAGAUCUGGGCGCGUGGUGCUCACUUGUAAUUCCAGUUACUUGGGAGGCUGAGGCAGGAAGAUCACAA
rnacentral:lncRNA from 1 species